CCUCAAAUGUCCUAAACGUCACGCCUGAAGACAAUCCGAAUGAUGCGUUCAACCUGACAGUUGCAUUUGUAGACUGCAAGCAGUGUAAAGUGCUUCGCCAUAGCUACAUUGCCAAUGGCGAAGGCUGCAGUAAUUGGGUGACGGACCAGGGACUUGACCAACCAAAUACUUGCUGCCAGUUC
rnacentral:lncRNA from 1 species